rnacentral:rRNA from 1 species
GACGAACGCUGGCGGCGUGCUUAACACAUGCAAGUCGAACGGAAAGGCCCUGCUUUUGUGGGGUGCUCGAGUGGCGAACGGGUGAGUAACACGUGAGUAACCUGCCCUUGACUUUGGGAUAACUUCAGGAAACUGGGGCUCAUACCGGAUAGGAGCUCCUGCUGCAUGGGGGGGGUUGGAAAGUUUCGGCGGUUGGGGAUGGACUCGCGGCUUAUCAGCUUGUUGGUGGGGUAGUGGCUUACCAAGGCUUUGACGGCUAGCCGGCCUGAGAGGGUGACCGGCCACAUUGGGACUGAGAUACGGCGCAGUCUCCUACGGGAGGCAGCAGUGGGGAAUAUUGCGGAAUGGGCGGAAGCCUGAUGCAGCAACGCCGCGUGCGGGAUGACGGCCUUCGGGUUGUAAACCGCUUUCGCCUGUGACGAAGCGUGAGUGACGGUAAUGGGUAAAGAAGCACCGGCUAACUACGUG